rnacentral:rRNA from 1 species
UACGUAGGGGGCGAGCGUUGUCCGGAGUUACUGGGCGUAAAGCGCUUGUAGGCGGUCCACCAAGUUUGGGGUGACAGUUGCCGACUUAAUCGGCAAAGUGCCUCAAAGACUGGCGGACUUGAGGGCCACAGAGGGACAUGGAACUCCAGGUGUAGUGGUGAAAUGCGUAGAUAUCUGGAAGAACACCAAAGGCGAAGGCAGUGUCCUGGGUUGUCGCUGACGCUGAGAGGCGAAAGCCAGGGGAGCGAACGGG